rnacentral:rRNA from 1 species
UACGUAGGGUGCAAGCGUUGUCCGGAAUUAUUGGGCGUAAAGAGCUCGUAGGCGGUCUGUCGCGUCUGCUGUGAAAACUCGGGGCUUAACUCCGGGCCUGCAGUGGGUACGGGCAGACUAGAGUGCGGUAGGGGAGACUGGAAUUCCUGGUGUAGCGGUGAAAUGCGCAGAUAUCAGGAGGAACACCGGUGGCGAAGGCGGGUCUCUGGACCGUAACUGACGCUGAGGAGCGAAAGCGUGGGGAGCAAACAGG